CCUACGGGUGGCUGCAGUGGGGCAUAUUGGACAAUGGGGGGAACCCUGAUCCAGCCAUGCCGCGUGUGUGAAGAAGGCCCUCGGGUUGUAAAGCACUUUCAGUGAGGAAGAACGCCUGGUGGUUAAUACCCAUCAGGAAAGACAUCACUCACAGAAGAAGCACCGGCUAACUCCGUGCCAGCAGCCGCGGUAAUACGGAGGGUGCGAGCGUUAAUCGGAAUUACUGGGCGUAAAGCGCGCGUAGGUGGCUUGAUAAGCCGGUUGUGAAAGCCCCGGGCUCAACCUGGGAACGGCAUCCGGAACUGUCAAGCUAGAGUGCAGGAGAGGAAGGUAGAAUUCCCGGUGUAGCGGUGAAAUGCGUAGAGAUCGGGAGGAAUACCAGUGGCGAAGGCGGCCUUCUGGACUGACACUGACACUGAGGUGCGAAAGCGUGGGUAGCAAACAGGAUUAGAUACCCUAGUAGUC
rnacentral:rRNA from 1 species